rnacentral:rRNA from 1 species
GGCGGACGGGUGAGUAAUAUAUAGUUAACCUGCCCUCGAGAAAGGAAUAACAGUUGGAAACGACUGCUAAUGCCCUAUAUGCCUUUAAGACAUAAGUCUGCAAGGGAAAUGCUUUUGUGCUCGAGGAUGGGACUGUACGGUAUCAGAUAGUUGGUGGGGUAAUGGCCUACCAAGUCAAUGACGCCUAACUGGUUUGAGAGGAUGAUCAGUCACACUGGAACUGAGACACGGUCCAGACUCCUACGGGAGGCAGCAGUGGGGAAUAUUGCACAAUGGAGGAAACUCUGAUGCAGCAACGCCGCGUGGAGGAUGACACAUUUCGGUGCGUAAACUCCUUUUAUAUAGGAAGAUAAUGACGGUACUAUAUGAAUAAGCGCCGGCUAACUCCGUGCCAGCAGCCGCGGUAAUACGGAGGGCGCAAGCGUUACUCGGAAUCACUGGGCGUAAAGAGCGUGUAGGCGGAUAGAUAAGUCAGAAGUGAAAUCCUAUGGCUCAACCAUAGAACUGCUUUUGAAACUGUUUAUCUAGAGUGUGGGAGAGGUAGAUGGAAUUUCUGGUGUAGGGGUAAAAUCCGUAGAGAUCAGAAGGAAUACCGAUUGCGAAGGCGAUCUACUGGAACAUAACUGACGCUGAGACGCGAAAGCGUGGGGAGCAAACAGGAUUAGAUACCCUGGUAGUCCACGCCCUAAACGAUGUACACUAGUUGUUGUGAGGCUUGACCUUGCAGUAAUGCAGUUAACACAUUAAGUGU